GGACGUUGUCCGUGUUUGUUCUUUUGAGUGAUUGAUCGCGGAAAACGAAGGACACAUGCUAUGAGAAGAAGAUGUUACAUGUAUGGUACGGGAAUCCGCUUCAUGUAAAGGAUGAAACAUCGUUAAUAGCGCUUAACUGGAUGGUGCAAAGGUAUGUUUGUGGGGGCUGUUCAUGUGUAAAUUGAUUUGUUGUCCGGUUUGCUAACCUUGUGUAUGUGAUUGACAAGUGCGCCCGGAUGAAAAUGUGAGAGUGUAAUUGUGCUUUGUGUUUUAUUUCAGCUCUUACGGUGUCUGUGGUGUGUGUGUUAAAAAAAUUAAAAGUUGAAGCCACAUCACAGUGCAUCUGUCCUCGUUCAUGGAGUCUUGAAAUCCAGUUGAGAUGCUACACUGGUGGAGUCCAGAGUGACACUAUUAACACAUUCUCAUCCCUUUUGAACAGAGCGUGGCUGGGCAGCAGCAGGAGGCUCCCUCUACGUCCACGGCACACAUUGACUCCCAGUUACCAGUAAAAGAGGUGUAUAAAAUACAUCUUUUAAAAGAAAUACAAAAAAUGGAUAAAGAGAUGCUAUUGCUGGGCCGGCAGAUAAAAAAAGCAGAUCUCGAAAUAGAAAUACUGGAGCACAACUUAAAGGUGGGUGCAUUGUCACGCGUCAUUUAUGUCAAUGAUGUGAACUAUUGGAACAUUAACUUAACUGUCUUUUUGUAUUUGUAGGAAAUAAAGAAAAACAACUGAAAUGCGCUUCAUGAUUUUUUUUAUUUCUGGGGGUGGUGAUGGUGAUGGUGAUGGUGAUGGUGAUGGGGGUGGGGGUGCUUGAAACUCAAAAGUGGUUACGGCAGAUUGCGUCUCUGACUGCUCGGCCGUCCUGAAUUGGUGGCAGGUGGAUGGGGUCAUCAUCUGGCUCCGCAAUUUGUAUGGCGGGGUGUUGCUCUCCUCUAAUAGUGGCAAUAUUAGAUAUUACAGCACCGAAACCGCACUGCUAAAAAUUACUAACGACCUUCUCACUGCAUCUGACUCCGGUUCACUUUCCAUCCUCAUCCUCCUCGACCUUAGUGCAGCCUUCGACACUAUCUCCCAUCCCAUCCUCCUUCGUAGACUCUCCUCCAUCGGCAUCACCCACACUCCCCUCCGUUGGUUCCACUCUUACCUCUCAGACCGCACACAGUUCAUCCAGCUCAAAUCAUUCAAGUCCGACCCCUCCCCAGUCAGUUCAGGUGUGCCCCAGGGCUCUGUCCUGGGGCCCCUGCUGUUCAUCAUCUACCUCCUCCCCCUUGGUUCCAUCUUCCAUAAAUACAACAUUCGAUACCACUGCUACGCUGACGACACCCAGCUCUACCUCUCCAGCUCACCAAACUCCACCCUCCCACCCACCUCCCUCAUCACCUGCCUAUCUGAAAUUAAAUCCUGGUUCACCUCCAACUUUCUCCAAUUAAACAGUCAGAAAACAGAAAUUCUUCUUGUAGGUUCCAAAUCCACCCUAUCCAAAGUUGACAGUCUCUCCCUUCCCAUCGACAGUUCCUCAGUUUCCCCCUCACCUCAGGUCAAGAGUCUGGAUGUCGUCCUUGACAGUUCUCUUUCUUUUAAAUCCCACAUCAGCCUUACCACUCGCACUGCCUAUUUCCACCUCCGCCACAUCAAUCGUCUCCGCCCCUCCCUCUCCCCCAACACCACCUCCAUCCUCGUCCACAGUCUCGUCACCUCCCGUCUGGAUUACUGCAACUCCCUCCUCUUCGGUCUCCCUUACACGUCUCUCCAUAAAUUUCAACUGGUCCACAACUCCGCUGCCCGUAUCAUCACCAAAACCCCUUCGUCCAACCACAUCACCCCCAUCCUUCAGCAGCUUCACUGGCUCCCGGUCCCUCUACGAAUCCAGUUCAAAAUCCUCCUGUAUACCUUCAAAGCCAUCCACAACCUCGCCCCUCCUUACCUGUCUGACCUCCUCCACAUCGCCACUCCAACACGCCACCUCCGUUCCUCUUCCUCUCUCCACCUCUCUGUGCCCCCUGUUCACCUCAGAACUAUGGGGGGCAGAGCUUUCAGUCGCUCUGCCCCCCGACUCUGGAACUCUUUACCAUCACACAUCCGCAACAUAGACUCCCUCCCCCUCUUCAAGUCCAAACUCAAAACACACCUGUUUAAACUGGCCUAUCCCUCCCACCACCCCUAACCCACUUUUUUAAAUUAAAUUUCAAUUGGUAUUAUUAAUUUCUUUAUUUAUUCCUUUGCUGUUGUUUAUGUUUAAUGUUGCUUUGUUGAUUUUAACUGUUUGAUGAUUAAUGAUUUUAAUUGUUAAUAGUGUUUUAUUAUUGUUUUUAUAUGUUCUGUAAAGUGUCCUUGAGUGACGUGAAAGGCGCUUCAAAUAAAAUGUAUUAUUAUUAUUUAUUUAUUAUUAUAUUAUGAAGAACAACACAUGCCACUAUAAUAUCACAGGCCCUCUCGGGGGUCACCCUGGGGUGACGUAGGCACUGGAAACGAGCUUUCAGCAGGCCUAUGGUCAUCUCCACCCGGGCUCUCGUCCUGCAGUGAGCCCGGUUGAAGUUCUGUUGGGGGCCUGGUUCAGGGUCGGGGUAUGGGGUCAGUAGCCUCGGUUGACAUGGGUAACCCCUGUCGCCCAGCAGAAGGCCGUCAAACUCUCCUGUAAUAUAGAGUGGAUGCAUGGAGUGUAUUAAAGGAGGGAGACAAGAGAGUUAUACUGCAAACCUUCAGGCUUCUUACCACGUUGGAGUCUGGCUCUCAGGAUUGACUCGCGGAACAUCCUCGAGUCGUGGACUGAUCCCGGCCACUUGGCCUCCACAUUGGUGAUGAUAUUUUUAGCAUCACAUAUGAUCUUGACAGUGCAGAGAAUGAUAGAUGUUAAUUGAACUAUGAUGAGGUGUUUAACAUGUUGAAGCAGUAUAUGUACCUGCACAUUGAUGCUAUGUGUCGACUUCCUGUUCACAUAAUCUCCCUCAUUAUGUGAAGGAGCCCUGAUGGGGAUGUGCGUGCCAUCAACGCAGCCUAUUACAUUGGGGAAUCCUAAAACAAAUUUCCUAAUCUCAGUAUGAUGUUACAGCACAAUAUCAAUAUAGGGUGACAAUAUUUUGAUUUCCACAAUUACGACAAAAUAGGACAUUUUCAGGAAUUAAUAUAAACAAAAAAGACCUCUGGACAGGACAUAAAAAGAUGACAUGUCCGGACGUUUUACAAUUAAUACCACGAAACAGAUCUGUACAUCCUUUACCUGCGAUCCUGCGGAACUCCUCUUUGAUGGCUCGGACAGGUUUGUGUCCAGGAAAGGCCACAAAAAGCCGUUUCAGGGCGAGGCACACUUUUUGUAUUGCCCUGCAUACUGUUGCCUUGCUUAAAUGCUCCACAUCUCCAAUGUUGUACAAAAAACUCCCAUUUGCGAAGUAACGCAGCGCAACACAUAAAAUCUGCUCUGAUGUGAGCGCAUGACUGCGACCGGUGAUGUUUGAAAUGUGUGGUUGGAUAAGGUUGUGAAUAUAAAUAAUAGAUUGUGAAGAAAAACGAUACCGCUCAAAAAGAAAAUUGUCCGGGUGGGCUAAAAUAUCAAUUCGGGGUCUGAGGAUGAUCUCUCGGUGAAUAUGUAUUCCCCCGCGCAUGAUCGCUGCACCUUCGUCAACUGGAUCUAUAUCAAAAGGACACGCCAUCGUUGUAGAUUGCAGUAGCUACUGUGCCGAACGGACCAAGAUGACUUAAAUCAGCUGUUCAAAACUCACCGGCUGACAGAAAUCAAAAGGAGUGUGUGGCUGAAAAAGGGCGGAGACAGAGAGAAACUCUGGGUUUACUAGGUUAAACCUGCUCCCGAGCAGGUUAGGUUCACGGAGUCUGUUACUAUGGCAACUGACCGCGAGGUUGAGUUACCUCUCUUUGUGAAACAGGUUAGAGUUACCCCUCUCUCCCUGGUUUAACUAACCCUCCUUUGUGAAACGGAAAACUCCGAGUUUGUUAACCCUGAAAUCAGGGAAACUCUGAGUUUCCAUUAAACCUGCUACGUGAAACGGACCUCUGGUGGCGAAGAAAGUCAGAGCCGCUGUCACCCUCACAGCAACUGGGAGAGCGCAUGGGCCACCAGGGUCCGCAUCUGAGGCCACAAUGUGUGUAAUCGCGUGGACCACCUCACGGGACAGGUGUAAUUUGUUCCUGUGUCAAGGAAAAUAGUAGAUUGUUAAAAGGCAGUUGCAUUGAACACGGUGUUGGAGGCGUGUUGUUAAGGUUAAAUAUGAUGCCCUUUGAUGAAUCACCCUCGUCCUGUAAUUUCUCCUCCUCCUCCUCCACCUCCUUGCAAUUAUGUACUCCAUCUUUGUAGAUAAUGUUAAGCAUGGAAAUUAUUAAAUCUGUAGCUAUGUGAGAUCACAUGCUGCAGGUAAAUCUUGAGAACAACGGUCAUAACUUACUUUGCUUCAGUGUGCGUUGAUUUUUUCUCAGUGUUCUGAGAUGACAUGCCAAAUAUAUACUCUCUCUGUGAUGUCGAAGCUGUUUGUGGUUGGUAGAGAGAUGUGAAGUAGUUAGUUUGCAUCAGAGUUUCAGCUGUGUUAGUCGGUCAGGUCGAGUGGCAAUUAGGCGUGCCAAACACGCUCCUAAGAUAUACAUCAAAAUAUGCUGAUGUACUGUAGAUCUAAAUGUAUGUGCUGCAUAUAUUUAAAUCCCACAUGACAAAGAUGAGUUGUGCGCACAGAUCACACCAUAAAUUCCAAUAAUGGCAUUAAAAUCACAACCAUCUGUGCGUAAUGACGCAUCACGCUCCUUGGCCUCAUGGCUCUCUCUUUCAUAGAUGUUGGCAUAUAAAAUAAAUUUGGUUCACAAAACUAAAUAUUAUAAUAUUCGUAUGUAGGCUUAAAGAAAAUAACUCAUCUGAUCACUGAAACAAAUCAUCCGUUCAGCCGCUGCUGCAGCAGCUGCUGCAGGACGGAGAGGACACAGACACAUAUCCAGGUCGAGCUGCAUGAGACAUAAGAGGAGGGAGACAAAUUAAAUAUCUUGUUAACUUCAUCAUUUGUGUUUAUUUACUAGAUAUUUAAUUUAAUUUAAUGCGGUUGCACCUGUGUUGAUUCGGUCAGGUUGUGUGUCCAAAUGCUUGCCAAACGUGCUCAUCGGAUCAGCUAUAGAUCAGAAUAUAUCGAUAUAGAUCUAAAUGUAUGUGCUGACUCAGAUUAUUAGUUGUUGAUGAUUAUUUAUUGCACUGAAAUGUGUCUGACUAUGGAAACCUGCUGGUGAGGCAUCAGUGACGUAUGCAGAUACGCCGCCGGUCUGCCAAAAUACUACUAGACCAGUUGCGCUCCGCCUUGUGCUGAAAGCUGACCAGGUUUGAAUCUGCGAGCUUUCAGCGCACUUUACACGCCGGUGGCAAGCACGAAAAUGUCACUGCGCCCGCUGUCGACACCUCCCCCUGCCACGCCACCACGCCCAGCUUGGUGGAUCUCGGUUCACCUCCAUGUGGCUCAGUCCACAAAAAUACCGAACUGGCUGUACGCCGGGCUGCGCCAGACGAAAAUACAACUGCGCGGGGCUCGCCGCCCUCCGCCGCAUCACAGGGUGUACUCGAAAAUAGAGCCCCUUAUGUUCAGUAGACCACAUUUUGUUCAGUAGACCACAUUUUAUCUUACUACUACUCGGUUUUAAUUCUAGUAAGGUUCUUGUUAUUUACUCCUUUGUUAAUCGAUUGGUUAGAAUUAAAGAGCCGAGGACGAGGGACAAUCACAAAAUCUCUAUAUUAAAAUGAUAGUAGCUAGGAGGCUGGUCUAACAAAAGUGCAGAGAAAGGUGGAAUUGCAGCUAUGCCCCCUGAUCUCUAUAUCAAACUGAUUGUAGCUAGAAAGCUGCGCUGAAGGGAGUGCAGAGGUGUGUGUAAGACUGCGGCUCUGCUCCCUUGUCUCUGUAUAAAAGUGAUAGUGGCUGGGAUGCUGCUCUAAAGGAGGCGCAGAGGGGCGUGUAGGACUGCGGCCCUGCUCCCUGAUCUCUGCUCUGAGUUGUCAGUGGUUUGGACUAAUAAAACCGGACAGAUUUCUGGAUAAAGGGCCGCUCCAUCUCGAGUGGGAUGAAUGCCGUCCCGACUAAACAGACCAGGCUUGCCCCAAAACGACUUCGAAUCAUCAAUGAAGCCCACACCAUUUUGCGAACACCACCUCGACAGCCAGUAGUUGAAUGAUGAGAUACGGCUACACAUCUCAAAUGACUCAAUGUUGUGGAGGUUGAAUUAAUAGUUGUGAGAACUUUCAUUCUGAACUGAGAAAUGCACCAAAACAACAGAGAAAAAGUGUGAGCAUCUUGUAAUUGCACCUGUUGUGAAGUGGCACCAUAGAUAGAUAGAUAGAUAGAUAGAUAGAUAGAUAGAUAGAUAGAUAGAUAGAAUAACAAACUGAACAGAGACACUAUAUAGGCUUAUUAUGGGUUUUGCCGAUUAAACCAUCUCAAAGUGUGGUGAAGCAAGUGUAUCCUGGAGAGGAGUAAGUAAUUUUCAGUUUUCAGCUUUAAGACCAUUGGGUUUUACCUCAGAAACAGAUUUUUGCUGGAGCCUGAUGUCACAAUUGUGCACAUAUCAGCACAGUCUACUUUCAUUUUCGAAGAAGAAGCAGAAGAAGAAGGAAACAAGUUAAGGAAAGGAUAUGGAACAGCAGAGACUGACACAAGAAAGGUUAGUAUGACAUUCAAAACAGGAGACAAAAAACCUGCAAACUAAUGUUACUUCAUAGCACUCCAUAUGCUGUCAAACCUCAGACUUCAUAGGCCAACUUAGAGGAUGUCAGACCUGUGUGACCUUGGGGUGUCAGCCACAAUGAUCUGUCAUAAACAUUCAUCCUUUGUUCUCCACCAAGUAACCUUCUAUUGAAACCAUGUUUAAAAUCAUCUAUGCCAUUUAUUUAACAGGUGUCCAAUAAUGGUGGUAUUCUUGCGACAGAUAGAGAGCUGACAGUCAGCUUAAAAUUCAACGUGAUGAUUUCAGAAUGCAGAAAAGAAUCUGUCUUUGGAAUAGAGAGCAGAACACCACCAGACACUGAUAACACAGAGAGGUGAGAUGGAAAUCAAUAAGAUAAAAUUUCAGAUUAUGCUAAUAUUAAAUAUGAUUUGAAUAUUGAGGAAAGACCCAGAUAAAUGACUGUUGAAAAUGUAGAACUUAAAUCACAGAUGAGCUCUACACUCAAUACUUUAUUUUGAGGUUAACAACACAAUCACUUCAAUAAAGUUUCAUCAUGAGAACCUUUACCUGAUAUGUAGACUGGCUCUUACCAGAAUCAUCUGUCACAUUCAUGCAACACACAAAUGUCUGAUGAGCAGCACCUGAUUAGAAACUGACAUUUAAUUAACUUUAGCGCAAACUCAAAAGACUGCUCUGACGUCUGCUGCUGAGUGCACAUGAUUCAUCUGACAUUUUUGCUCCAAAACUCUUGGAAGACCACAUGCACCACAUGCAUCCUCCAUAUGUUUUGUUCAUAGAUACAGAUGUUUCGGUGAGGUUGGACUCUGUUGGCAGGGUCUGACUCUAAACAUGCUGCAACUUUUUACAUUAAUGUAUUAGACUUUUUGAUUGUCAUUUCAUGAGAUUGUGGAGUGGGGCUAUUGAUUGUCGUAUUGGGAGAGUCUACUCACCUCCAUUCUAUCAUGCUGUAAACCAGAUCCUCCUGCUAUUUUUUUUUCCUAUUUUGUCUCUAGCCAAUAGUCUGACUGCAGAGCGUGUAAGUAGACCCUGAAACCACAAUGUCAACCUCUGAUUUCUAAGC